UUGCCACCGUAUCAGCGACCGAUGAAAUUUGAGCAAUUUGAGCGGGUUUAUUUUUAUCUUGAGCACCUCUCCACUAAUUAGGGUUUCAAUUCAAUUUUACUCCAAGAAACAUAUUCACUGUCGUUCGCCCCUAUACACCAGAACACAACGAUCUACACAAGGCUUUUGUUACCUCUAUAAAAUCAUCAUCCUUCUCCUUCCUACAGAAAAUCCAAGAAAUUUCACCUUUUAGAACUAAUACCAUAUUUGGAAAAGUGUACCGGUUAGGCAAUGUUAGUCACCAUGUGUACAUAGCAGAGAAGAACCUUAGAUUGAAAAGUUGAACUUAGUUAUCAAAGAGCUCGUUAAGGAAAAGGACGUAGAAAAAGAAAGGUUAAAUGGAAUUAUUGCGGGGUUGUUGGCUCAUAAAGAAAAAGAUAAGGUGGAUAAAGAUGUUAUGCUCAAUAGGAUGUCACAAAGUGAGGCUACAUUAACAGCUACAAUUCAAAGAUAGGUUAUAAACGCUUGGUUUUGAAUGUUUCGAUGUUCAUCAUAUUGGGAUAGUUUCAUUUAUCUAUUUAAUGUUUUGGUCG